rnacentral:misc_RNA from 1 species
GAUGAAGAACGUAGCGAAAUGCGAUACUUGGUGUGAAUUGCAGAAUCCCGUGAACCAUCGAGUCUUUGAACGCAAGUUGCGCCCGAAGCCAUCAGGUUGAGGGCACGUCUGCCUGGGCGUCACAUAUCGUUGCCCAAUGCCUAUUGCAGUGCAAUAGGAAUUUCUAGGGCGAAUGAUGGCUUCCCGUGAGCGUUGUUGCCUCGCGGUUGGUUGAAAAUCGAGUCCUUGGUAGGGUGUGCCAUGGUAGAUGGUGGUCGAGUUAGAACGAUACCGAUCAUGUGCAUGCUCCCCAAAAUAUGGCCUCUAUGACCCACACGCGUCUUUUGACGCUCAUGACGAGACCUCAGGUCAGGCGGGGCUACCCGCUGAAUUUAAGCAUACAAUAAGCGGAGGA